rnacentral:rRNA from 1 species
CCUACGGCGUGCUGCAGUGGGGAAUAUUGGACAAUGGGCGAAAGCCUGAUCCAGCCAUGCCGCGUGUGUGAAGAAGGCCUUCGGGUUGUAAAGCACUUUCAGUGGGGAAGAAAGCCUUGGGGCUAAUACCCUCGAGGAAGGACAUCACCCACAGAAGAAGCACCGGCUAACUCCGUGCCAGCAGCCGCGGUAAUACGGAGGGUGCGAGCGUUAAUCGGAAUUACUGGGCGUAAAGCGCGCGUAGGCGGUCUGAUAAGCCGGUUGUGAAAGCCGCGGGCUCAACCUGGGAACGGUCCGGAAGGGGGUAGGGAGGAGUGCAAAGGAAGAGAUGCGAAUUUGGUGUGGAGCGGUGAAGUGGGGAGAGAGAUGGAGAAGCACAGGUGGGGAAGGGGGCUCUGUAGUAUAUAACUGAAGCGGAGGGUCGAGAGCGGGGAGAACGAACAGGAUAAGAGACACUGGUAGUCA